AUUGAACGCUGGCGGCAUGCCUUACACAUGCAAGUCGAACGGCAGCACGGGGCAACCUGGUGGCGAGUGGCGAACGGGUGAGUAAUACAUCGGAACGUACCUUUCAGUGGGGGAUAACGUAGCGAAAGUUACGCUAAUACCGCAUAUUCUGUGAGCAAGAAAGCAGGGGAUCGCAAGACCUUGCGCUGAUUGAGCGGCCGAUGUCAGAUUAGCUAGUUGGUGAGGUAAAGGCUCACCAAGGCGACGAUCUGUAGCGGGUCUGAGAGGAUGAUCCGCCACACUGGAACUGAGACACGGUCCAGACUCCUACGGGAGGCAGCAGUGGGGAAUUUUGGACAAUGGGGGCAACCCUGAUCCAGCCAUGCCGCGUGAGUGAAGAAGGCCUUCGGGUUGUAAAGCUCUUUCGGCCGGGAAGAAAUCGCACGGGCUAAUACCCUGUGUGGAUGACGGUACCGGAAUAAGAAGCACCGGCUAACUACGUGCCAGCCGCCGCGGUAACAC
rnacentral:rRNA from 1 species